rnacentral:rRNA from 1 species
CAAGGUUAAAACUCAAAUGAAUUGACGGGGGCCCGCACAAGCGGUGGAGCAUGUGGUUUAAUUCGAUGCAACGCGAAGAACCUUACCUGGUCUUGACAUCCACAGAACUUUCCAGAGAUGGAUUGGUGCCUUCGGGAACUGUGAGACAGGUGCUGCAUGGCUGUCGUCAGCUCGUGUUGUGAAAUGUUGGGUUAAGUCCCGCAACGAGCGCAACCCUUAUCCUUUGUUGCCAGCGGUCCGGCCGGGAACUCAAAGGAGACUGCCAGUGAUAAACUGGAGGAAGGUGGGGAUGACGUCAAGUCAUCAUGGCCCUUACGACCAGGGCUACACACGUGCUACAAUGGCG